GAACGAUGAAACUUAAAAGAUUUCUUCGGAAUGAAUUUAAGCGGAUUAGUGGCGGACGGGUGAGUAACGCGUGAGUAACCUGCCUUACACAAGGGGAUAGCCUCUGGAAACGGAGAAUAAUACCCUAUAACACCAUCAAAUCGCAUGAAGUGAUGGUCAAAGUGUUAGCGGUGUAAGAUGGACUUGCGUCUGAUUAGCUAGUUGGUGAGAAAAAAGCCCACCAAGGCAACGAUCAGUAGCCGGCUUGAGAGAGUGUACGGCCACAUUGGGACUGAGACACGGCCCAGACUCCUACGGGAGGCAGCAGUGGGGAAUUUUGCACAAUGGGGGAAACCCUGAUGCAGCGACGCCGCGUGAUUUAGAAGGCCUUCGGGUUGUAAAAAUCUUUUGUAUAGGAAGAAAAUGACAGUACUAUACGAAUAAGGUCCGGCUAAUUACGUGCCAGCAGCCGCGGUAAUACGUAAGGACCGAGCGUUGUCCGGAAUCAUUGGGCGUAAAGGGUACGUAGGCGGGUUUUUAAGUUAGAAGUCAAAGGCUAUAGAUCAACUAUAGUAAGCUUCUAAAACUGGAAACCUUGAGAGAUGGAAGGGAAAGUGGAAUUCCUAGUGUAGCGGUGGAAUGCGCAGAUAUUAGAAGGAAUACCGGUGGCGAAGGCGACUUUCUGGCCAUUUUCUGACGCUGAGGUACGAAAGCGUGGGUAGCAAACAGG
rnacentral:rRNA from 2 species